rfam:Candidatus Pacebacteria bacterium CG1_02_43_31 cg1_0.2_scaffold_2326_c, whole genome shotgun sequence.
GGAGGGAUGUCGGAGUGGUUUAACGGCCAGCUCUCGAAAAGCUUGGGGGACUCACGUCCCACGGGGGUUCGAAUCCCCCUCCCUCCG